GACGAACGCUGGCGGCGUGCUUAACACAUGCAAGUCGAACGGAAAGGCCCUCCUUUUCUUGUGUGCUCGAGUGGCUCACGUGUGAGUCACACGUGUAUCACCUGCCCUUUCCUCUCGCAUCACUUCAGUAAACUUGGGCUAAUACCUCUUAUGCGCUCCUGCACCGUAGGGUGGUUUCGAAGGUUUCAGCGGUUGGGGAUGUACUCGCGGCUUAUCAGCCUGUUGAUGGGGUAGUGGCUUACCAAGGCUUUGACGGGUAGCCGGCCUGAGAGGGUGACCGGACACAUUGGGACUGAGAUACGGGCCAGACUCCUACGGGAGUCAGCAGUGGGGAGUGUUGCACAAUGGGAGGAAGGCUGAUGCAGCAACGCCGCGUGUGGGAUGACGGCCUUCGGGUGGUAAAGAGCUUUCGACUGUGACGAAGCGUGAGUGACGGUAAUGGGUAAAGAAGCACCGGCUAACUACGUG
rnacentral:rRNA from 1 species